CCCUCAGAGUCGCGAGGCCGGACACAGCGCAGCACGGCCCCACUCGCAGCAGCCGCAGCCAUGAAGGCCGUGUUGCAGCGCGUCACCCGGGCCAGCGUCACAGUUGGAGGAGAGCAGAUUAGUGCCAUUGGAAGGGGCAUAUGUGUGUUGCUGAGUAUUUCCCUGGAGGAUACGCAGAAGGAACUGGAGCACAUGGUCCGAAAGAUUCUAAACCUGCGUGUGUUUGAUGAUGACAGCGGGAAGCACUGGUCUAAGAGUGUGAUGGACAAACAGUACGAGAUUCUGUGUGUCAGCCAGUUUACCCUCCAGUGUGUCCUGAAGGGAAACAAGCCUGAUUUCUACCUAGCAAUGCCCACGGAGCAGGCAGAGGGCUUUUACAACAGCUUCCUGGAGCAGCUGCCUAAAACAUACAGGCCGGGGCUUAUCAAAGAUGGCACGUUUGGGGCCUACAUGCAGGUGUACAUUCAGAAUGAUGGGCCUGUGACCACAGAGCUGGAAUCGCCAGCUCCCGGCACUGCUACCUCUGAUCCAAAGCAGCUGUCAAAGCCUGAAAAACAGCAGCAGAGAAAAGAAAAGACCAGAGCUAAGGGACCUUCUGAAUCAACCAAGGAAAGAAACACUCCCCGAAAAGAAGACCGCAGUGCCAGCAGCGGGGCCGAGGGUGACGUGUCCUCUGAAUGGGAACUGUAGCUCAGGAGGCAGAAUUCAGUGUGUUAUCAUUGGGCAGAACUGGAUCCUGAAAAUUUCAAGAUGCUAAGCACCUACACUACUUUAAGAAUUUGGAACUGAAACAUGAAGAGGAAGACAGAAAUAAGAAGUUGGGAACCUGAAUAGCUCUGC